rnacentral:misc_RNA from 1 species
GUGAGUCAUCGAAUCUUUGAACGCACAUUGCGCCCGCCAGUAUUCUGGCGGGCAUGCCUGUUCGAGCGUCAUUUCAACCAUCAAGCCCCCGGCUUGUGUUGGGGACCUGCGGCUGCCGCAGGCCCUGAAAUCCAGUGGCGGGCUCGCUGUCGCACCGAGCGUAGUAGCAUACUUCUCGCUCCGGGAGCGCGGUGGGCGCCUGCCGUAAAACCCCCUAUUUAUCAAGGUUGACCUCGGAUCAGGUAGGAAUACCCGCUGAACUUAAGCAUAUCAAUAAGCGGAGGA